UGAUUAUCAAUCCACUACAACUGCUAAACUAAAUAAAAUACCUGAGAUAGUAGUUCAAACUUCAAGCCAACAGAAAUUUUCUUUUACAUGUAAUUAACCCAAUUAAAAGUUGGAGUCGAUAACUCUAGAAAUAGUUCAGUACUACUAGCUUAAAAGCUCAUUGGUAAGCUAUUAUUAGAUUUUUAAUAACUUGGUAGUCCAAUGCUUAUUUCUCGUAGCGGUGGAGAUCAAAGGCAGCAAUAGAAUAAGGUCUCUUCAAUAACCAGCGAAGAAGAACAUUUAAAGCAUGGAUUGGAUUCUUGGGCACCUGAUAUUAUAGAAAUCGUCCAUGGAUUCCUCACUAAUCAUUUUCAUGAGCUCAUCUUGAAACCUUUUCAUGACUGGCCGUGGCAACAAUAUAGGUACUACAAUCCCAUACUCGCCGUUGCUAUUUUUGAACCGACUAAAGAAACUUCUAUAGGGCAAUGCCCCGAUAGGCCCUCCAAAAAGUGGCUUUCCCCAUCCAAAAUCAACUUCUACAAGCCCAGCCCAAGUAGUAUCAGCAACAAGAAAGUUCCAAACUGUAGUAUAAUGUGGUCGCCCUUUAAUCACCAUCAAAUCUGCUACUGACCUUAUGUACUCUUCACUCAUUAGGUUCUUGGCUUUCCUUAUCGACUCAAUUGCAUAUUCUAAUGGAUUUUUACACAAUUCUCCAGCCGUUGAAAGCGCCGCAGGGAAGGCAAAAGCAUUGCCAUAGUAUCCAUUUGGCACUUUUAGUUGGUUUUGCUUGCCUCUGAGGUUUAUCACACAUAAGAGACGAACGAUCUCAUCAGGAUCAAGUUCAAGUGCAAUUGUGCGGCAUUUCCACAAACACGCCGUGAGCAGUUCAAAAGUUGAGCAUUUCCUUAGGUGUGGAGGAAGAUGGCUCCUUAAGGAUCUCAUUUCACGGGGACCGAAGAAGAAUGAUAGAUGGGCCAUGUUUGGUAGGUCCAAAGUCAUUACGGAGUUUUUAUUUGUGUCGUUUAUUGGAAUCUCCUCGUACUCGUGAUGUACAUGUGUCACGUGGGGUGGGUCUCGUGCAUUUAAGAUUUCCCUUCGCCAAACAGGGAAUAAGGAUGGUGUUCUUGCUCCUCUUGCGAUUUCUGCAGUUGCCAUCAAGAAUUUUGCUAAUCCUAAACUGUCACUCAUGGUGUGGUUUAAACGUAUUGCCAAAACAAAUCCUCCACAUGCCAAACGAGUCACCUGAAUCAACAACAAAGGACAUCCAAGAAUACCAGCAGAACCAGGAACAUCAUAAGGAAGGUCUUCAAUGCAAGGACAAGGAGGCUGCAUUGAGUCACCGAGCUGUUCAAUUGUAAUAUCAGCAUCAGCUUCAAUGAACAAGAUCCCUUGUCCAUUGCAAUCCACCAUAAGUUUCCUGUUAGGACCUUGAAUAAUCCUACCUGCAAAUGGGUAGUAAAACACUAGUGCUUCACCUAGUGCUUCUCUGAUGAUAUUUGCAGGGUCCUUUCCUUUCAUGGAAGGUUCACUGCGAUAAAACAUUAUAAAUGAA
rnacentral:misc_RNA from 1 species